UAUGUUUUGUACCGCCAGAGCUCUGAGAGGCAGAACCAUCGCGAGACUUCUGAGUGAAAGACGUGAAUUGCAAGCUGUUGCCGGAAACGGAAUGUAUUCUGUUUUUUUAUAGGUAAGCUGGUGUAGUUGUGUGCACUAGUGGUGGCGAGAUGAUGCCUCAUGAAACGUCAAAGCCUCGCAGCCAGGUGAACCAUCAAAGUGGUUCGACCUCGAAGCUUCAAAUGAGUACGCUAGGGACACCUAGUGGUGAAUGAAAUUAUGAUGAAAGAAAGAGUUUCCUGUGAUGAUGUGAUGUUUGCUUCGUACAACAUCAAAACGUUUAAGAAUUAAAGUCAUUUCAGUGAUACGUCCCGAGAUGAAGCCUCGAACGUCACACGCUACGUCAUUUCGCCUAUGUGAAUCCUACUCGAUACGGAGCUUCGCUGGGGGAGGAGCCGAGGUACUCGACACACGCCCCGAUGCCUCGACGCAAACCAUAACAUCACUAGUGUGCACAAUGAUGCUAUAAGUUAAUAUAAUGUAGUAUUACAUCUAAUAACACGGAAAAGCUAACUCAGACAUGCCGUCUGUUUAAUGCAGACGGGAUGUGUAUGCGGGCUACUUAAUGAAACGGAAAGUAUUCUGUCUUUUACAGAAAACCUUCUGAAAUAAAUCUGUUGUCGUGAG
ensembl:lncRNA